GACGAACGCUGGCGGCGUGCUUAACACAUGCAAGUCGAACGAAGAGCGAUGGACGCUUGCUUCUAUCAAUCUUAGUGGCGAACGGGUGAGUAACGCGUAAUCAACCUGCCCUUCAGAGGGGGACAACAGUUGGAAACGACUGCUAAUGCCGCAUACGAUCUGACCUCGGCAUCGAGGAUAGAUGAAAGGUGGCCUCUAUUUAUAAGCUAUCACUGAAGGAGGGGAUUGCGUCUGAUUAGCUAGUUGGAGGGGUAACGGCCCACCAAGGCGAUGAUCAGUAGCCGGUCUGAGAGGAUGAACGGCCACAUUGGGACUGAGACACGGCCCAGACUCCUACGGGAGGCAGCAGUGGGGAAUCUUCCGCAAUGGACGAAAGUCUGACGGAGCAACGCCGCGUGAGUGAUGACGGCCGUCGGGUUGUAAAGCUCUGUUAAUCGGGACGAAAGGCCUUCUUGCGAAUAGUUAGAAGGAUUGACGGUACCGGAAUAGAAAGCCACGGCUAACUACGUG
rnacentral:rRNA from 1 species